rnacentral:rRNA from 1 species
UACGUAGGGGGCAAGCGUUGUCCGGAUUUAUUGGGCGUAAAGAGCGUGUAGGCGGCCAGGUAGGUCGGUUGUGAAAACUCGAGGCUCAACCUCGAGAUGUCGACCGAAACCAUCUGGCUAGAGUCCGGAAGAGGAGAAUGGAAUUCCCGGUGUAGCGGUGAAAUGCGCAGAUAUCGGGAGGAACACCAAUGGCGAAGGCAGCUCACUGGGACGGUAUUGACGCUGAGACGCGAAAGCGUGGGGAGCGAACAGG